rnacentral:rRNA from 1 species
GACGAACGCUGGCGGCGUGCCUAAUACAUGCAAGUCGAACGCUUCUUUUUCCACCGGAGCUUGCUCCACCGGAAAAAGAGGAGUGGCGAACGGGUGAGUAACACGUGGGUAACCUGCCCAUCAGAAGGGGAUAACACUUGGAAACAGGUGCUAAUACCGUAUAACAAUCGAAACCGCAUGGUUUUGAUUUGAAAGGCGCUUUCGGGUGUCGCGGAUGGGUGGACCCGCGGUGCAUUAGCUAGUUGGUGAGGUAACGGCUCACCAAGGCAACGAUGCAUAGACGACCUGAGAGGGUGAUCGGCCACAUUGGGACUGAGACACGGCCCAAACUCCUACGGGAGGCAGCAGUAGGGAAUCUUCGGCAAUGGACGAAAGUCUGACCGAGCAACGCCGCGUGAGUGAAGAAGGUUUUCGGAUCGUAAAACUCUGUUGUUAGAGAAGAACAAGGAUGAGAGUAACUGUUCAUCCCCUGACGGUAUCUAACCAGAAAGCCACGGCUAACUACGUGCCAGCCGCCGCCGUAA